rnacentral:rRNA from 1 species
UGUUUCGGCUAGGGGGCCAUCCCGGCUUACCAACCCGAUGCAAACUGCGAAUACCGGAGAAUGUUAUCACGGGAGACACACGGCGGGUGCUAACGUCCGUCGUGAAGAGGGAAACAACCCAGACCGCCAGCUAAGGUCCCAAAGUCAUGGUUAAGUGGGAAACGAUGUGGGAAGGCCCAGACAGCCAGGAUGUUGGCUUAGAAGCAGCCAUCAUUUAAAGAAAGCGUAAUAGCUCACUGGUCGAGUCGGCCUGCGCGGAAGAUGUAACGGGGCUAAACCAUGCACCGAAGCUGCGGCAGCGACACUGUGUGUUGUUGGGUAGGGGAGCGUUCUGUAAGCCUGUGAAGGUGGCCUGUGAGGGUUGCUGGAGGUAUCAGAAGUGCGAAUGCUGACAUAAGUAACGAUAAAGCGGGUGAAAAGCCCGCUCGCCGGAAGACCAAGGGUUCCUGUCCAACGUUAAUCGGGGCAGGGUGAGUCGACCCCUAAGGCGAGGCCGAAAGGCGUAGUCGAUGGGAAACGGGUUAAUAUUCCCGUACUUGGUGUUACUGCGAAGGGGGGACGGAGAAGGCUAUGUUGGCCGGGCGACGGUUGUCCCGGUUUAAGCGUGUAGGUGUGUGUUCCAGGUAAAUCCGGUUCACUUUAACACUGAGGCGUGACGACGAGGCACUACGGUGCUGAAGCAACAAAUGCCCUGCUUCCAGGAAAAGCCUCUAAGCAUCAGGUAACAUCAAAUCGUACCCCAAACCGACACAGGUGGUCAGGUAGAGAAUACCAAGGCGCUUGAGAGAACUCGGGUGAAGGAACUAGGCAAAAUGGUGCCGUAACUUCGGGAGAAGGCACGCUGACACGUAGGUGAAGUGAUUUACUCAUGGAGCUGAAGUCAGUCGAAGAUACCAGCUGGCUGCAACUGUUUAUUAAAAACACAGCACUGUGCAAACACGAAAGUGGACGUAUACGGUGUGACGCCUGCCCGGUGCCGGAAGGUUAAUUGAUGGGGUCAGCGCAAGCGAAGCUCCUGAUCGAAGCCCCGGUAAACGGCGGCCGUAACUAUAACGGUCCUAAGGUAGCGAAAUUCCUUGUCGGGUAAGUUCCGACCUGCACGAAUGGCGUAAUGAUGGCCAGGCUGUCUCCACCCGAGACUCAGUGAAAUUGAACUCGCUGUGAAGAUGCAGUGUACCCGCGGCAAGACGGAAAGACCCCGUGAACCUUUACUAUAGCUUGACACUGAACAUUGAGCCUUGAUGUGUAGGAUAGGUGGGAGGCUUUGAAGUGUGGACGCCAGUCUGCAUGGAGCCGACCUUGAAAUACCACCCUUUAAUGUUUGAUGUUCUAACGUGGACCCGUGAUCCGGGUUGCGGACAGUGUCUGGUGGGUAGUUUGACUGGGGCGGUCUCCUCCUAAAGAGUAACGGAGGAGCACGAAGGUUGGCUAAUCCUGGUCGGACAUCAGGAGGUUAGUGCAAUGGCAUAAGCCAGCUUGACUGCGAGCGUGACGGCGCGAGCAGGUGCGAAAGCAGGUCAUAGUGAUCCGGUGGUUCUGAAUGGAAGGGCCAUCGCUCAACGGAUAAAAGGUACUCCGGGGAUAACAGGCUGAUACCGCCCAAGAGUUCAUAUCGACGGCGGUGUUUGGCACCUCGAUGUCGGCUCAUCACAUCCUGGGGCUGAAGUAGGUCCCAAGGGUAUGGCUGUUCGCCAUUUAAAGUGGUACGCGAGCUGGGUUUAGAACGUCGUGAGACAGUUCGGUCCCUAUCUGCCGUGGGCGCUGGAGAACUGAGGGGGGCUGCUCCUAGUACGAGAGGACCGGAGUGGACGCAUCACUGGUGUUCGGGUUGUCAUGCCAAUGGCACUGCCCGGUAGCUAAAUGCGGAAGAGAUAAGUGCUGAAAGCAUCUAAGCACGAAACUUGCCCCGAGAUGAGUUCUCCCUGAGACUUAAAGUCUCCUGAAGGAACGUUGAAG